AAGCCUGUCACAUGCUGCCGGCCUCCCCCUGGGGCUCGACGCUGAGCUGACGGGCCGAGCCGGGCGCUACAAGCCCUCCAAGUUUCCCUCCCUGCUUCUCGGCAUCGCGCUAAACUGCUGCAUUACAGCUUAAAUUUCGCUUUCCCCCGGCUCGCUUCUCAGCGCUCAUCCCGCCCCAGCCCUCGCCGUGGGCCCGCCCGCCGACCGCAGGUGCAGCCGGGCCGAAGGACUGAUCAAGUGCCUGACUCAGAUUGCCAUUUGGAACAUAAGCAAGCAGUGUCCAGAUUUCACCAUGAAGACAGGAUUUGAGGCAUAGACAGAUGUUACCAGUGACCCACCAAAGAUGAAAAAGAGGAUCAGGUAAUUCACAUGUACCCAUCUUGAGUAGCAUCUCACCUCCGAAGGCACACCAUUGACUCCACUAGAACUUUUGUGAAGAUAAUAUAUGAUUGCCUAAGAGUGAUGGUAGCAGGAUAUAGCUUACAAAGUAUUUACUACUUCAGAGGCAAUGUGUAUUUUUUAGAGUUCAACAGGCAAAGCUAUUACAACUCUUUUGUUAUUUAAUCUUUCUUAGUAUAUAUAUUUUAAUUGAACACUGUAAUUUUUAAGGGCUCAAUCAACUUUUUUAUUAUUGAGGCUUUUGGUAUAAUAAUCUGUGAUAGCUUUUCCUAAAACUUGCUAAUAUUCCUACAAGUGGAACUGCUUACUGAAAUAUAAAACGGUUGUGAAAAAUUUUAUUACACUUUUCCUCGUGACACAUAUACAUCAAUUAAGCAUUCUCAAAAGUUUCAUCUUUUCUUAAAUGAGCUUAAGUACAAUUUAAAUUAUUUUUAUCAAAAUGGAAUGAGAAAUAAAGUGCUUUCUUCUUUGUAUUUACUUUUAAUAUAAAAAAUAAUAAAAAUAUAUAAGCAAUGCUACAAAAUGCCUAUGAUUUUGCAGGUGUUAAGAAGUAUAUUUGCUGAAAUUACUCGAGUAAACCAAUGCUUUUCAGAAUGCCUUCUAUUGCUAUAGCUUAUGGAGAAAUCCAUCCCAAACUGUUUUUAGUAUAAAAUAGCCUUCCAGUUUUCAUUUUUUUUCAAUAUCUGAACAACCAGAUUAAUGGAAGAACACAUGACUGAUUGAUUAGGUAUAUCAUAUAAUGCCAUCUAAAUUUUCAAUACAGUAUGUUUUGUGGUACAAGAUGUAAAGUGAUUUACUAGAAGGCAAAAUAUAGGAAAAUUUUUUUAUUCUUAUCAGAAAAAAAAGUGUUCCCCCACAUGCUCUAAAGGAUUAAACCGUGAGCACCUUAUCUUUAAAACAAAAGCACUUUAAGGGACUAAUCCUGAAAUAGAAUGUCUGCUGUCAAAUCAUUGUUCCUGAAUGGAUAUAUUUGCAGGACCCUAAUUUUUUAGUGUAAUCAUGGCAGUCAGUUACUUAAGCUGUAGAUGUCCCAAGGAGUGCAAACACUGAAAAGAUACUGGUUGAUGUGCUGGCAAAAAUGAAAUUCAGCACAGUUGUCUGUCUGUGGGUGAAUGCACUUAGACAUACACGUGUAGGUAAAAUCAGGUUGAUAGAAGAUGCAUUUCAACUUUUCAUUUUCUGUCAGUUACAAUUCAAAACAGUAACAUUUACUCUAAGAGUUCAACUUUGUAGGUUUCAAGCAGCUGCCACUACAAACGGGGAUGGAAAAAAAAAUAAAAAAAAUCUAAAAUGUUUUGUCUUCCCUCAGUGAAAUAUGGAAUUUCCUGCAUUGUUUUGUGUGUGUCCAAGGUCGAGGAUAAGCAAAAGUCACAUGUGGUUCAGUAACACAUUUUGAAUUAAAAUUUGUGUCGGAGUUUUAAAAAACUUUUUUUUCCUGUUUCAUUGCUAGAAACAAAUAGGAGCUUUGCACCACUGAAAAAACAUUUCUCAUUUUCCUUCAGUUGCAAAUCCGAGUAUUUUAUAUUUUUCAACAUGAAACAUCACAUUGUGUGUUUCGUUAUAACUUGUUUUACAUGUUAUUAAUUUUAAUGUUUCUUCCCCUCUGAUCUGUGCUUGAUCAAAUCAGUUGUCCAAAUUGCUCUGCUGUUGUCAGCAGAAACACUGGCAUCUGGUAUAAUACAUAUGGCUUGUUGGACAAAAUGGUAAAUUCAAGUGAACUAUAGGUCGUGUUGCUCUAAGCAUUAUAAGAAUGGGCACACUUAAAAAGUGAGUUAUGGCAUUUUGACUGUUUGUAUUUGGCUACCAGCUUGGUAAAACAACCUUUAUGUGAUCAGUAAUACAAGCAGGAAAAAAACAUUUUGCUCUCAGUAAUGUGCUCCUCUUGGUGUGCUGUUCCAGGUGGUAGUUAUUAUAACUAUCAUCUUACUUAUAUUCUGCACUGAAUAUAAAGUCAAACAUAUACCUCUGAAACAGAAAGUCUACAAGGACUGAUUUGUUUUCCAUUGUUCUGGGUUUUCUGAACUAUCUCUGCUUUGGUUUGACUUUCUCCUAAGGAGCAGUAGGGGGAGAGUGCAUGAAGAAAACUGAUUGUAGUUAUUUGGUAACUUCUUGCUGCUUAAAUCUCAGUGACUUAGACAGUUGCUAAUUACCAUUAGCUAUUAAAAACAAACAAACAAAUAAAAAAGGCAUUUGAAACCACAUGAACAAGAAAUUUUUGUAGAAAGAAGCUGAGCAUCCUUGAAUUGAAUUUUGACUGUGUAACUGUUCUGAGUUUUAGAUGUGUGCAGCAAAGCAAUACCAGAUAACAAAUUUUGAAAUAGGCUAUUUCUGCCCCCCGUUGCUUCCUGAGCACUGUUUUCAUCUUUCCUCAAGUGUCUUCUCAUCUCAAGUCAUAUUGCUCUCUAUCUGUCAUUUCCUUCUGCUUUUUUUCAGAGCAACUCACAUACUUUGGCAAUAUUUUCCAAAUACCAAGCUAGCCAAAUACUACAUCCGAAUUUUUAUUCGCAUGUAGUAUUUGGAAUUUGGUGUUACCUAAUUCUUAGGUAUGAUUUUCCACCUGUCCACCAAUCCCCUAAGAGGUGCUACAGAAGGAUGCUUUGUUCCUAAGUAAUACAUACACACAGUUGGCCCUUCUGUACAGCCAAGAAAUGCAGACUUUCGUGAAACUGCUGUGGUGUGUCAAAUUAGUUUGUCACAUAAAGUGACUGUCUAGCUCUACGGCAGUGAAAUCAAGCUUUUAUUGUAUGUAGGUAGUUGUUUGGUUUUGUAUCCUUGCACAGAAAGAAACUCAGGCAUAAAAUACUUUUCUUUUACUCUGGCAGGUUUGUGCUCUUCCUAAGACUCCAGUUAGCUGUUAUUAGUUACGGUAGUAAGGUUGUCUUUUUAUUUCUGUUCCUUUUCAACUUCCCCAUCUGUGAGGCAGUGAGGCCUGGUCAGCAAAGCAGAUGACCUGCUUCUUUUACUGGCAUUGGUGCUGCUGUGGUGGGGAAGCAACAGCACGUCACUUGUCUAUGCUAUAUACAUAUAGACACAAAGUCUAUGAAUGAUAUACCUGUAUAGAAACAAUUCUUUUUUAAACAAUUCAUAGUCUUUGAAAAUCAAGUAUGUCAAAACAUAACAAAAAUGCUCUUUAUAAAACCUUAUUGUUUAAGGACAUGCAUCUGGUCACCUAGCAGCCUGCUUAAUUUGCCUACCAAAUAAGACUGCCUACCAGAUAUGAUUUUGAGUGAUGGAUCCCUAUUUCAGACAUCAUUUUUUGCCUGGAGCUUUUCAGUCUGCAGAUGUUUAUACUGCACUUCUGCCUCAGUGUCUCUAGUCUGGAUGUAAUCAGUGAUCUCAUUCACACUUGAAGUCUCCAGAGAAGGGAUAAACUGUACAUCGUGUCCUCAUCCAUCUGUGUCCUCAAUGAUGUAAUGAAAUUAUUGGUCGAGUGCAGUCUAAUUCCACUGGUUGACUUGCAUGGCAUCAAUAUCAGUGCUUAAUACACUUCAUUGCCACUGCUACAUUGGCAUACCCCUGUGGAAAUGUUUUGCAAUGUAUUCUGCAUUUUGUCAGGGGACCUGUGGAUUGCACUUAUGUCAGCUGUCAAGCUUAUAGACAAAGCCUCUGUGUUUUCCUUUACUUUCUGGAGAUUAUGGUUCUGUUUCCUGAGCCAUGAAGUCUCUCUGAAUGUUACUGCCAAUAGCAGUUUUGACAUGCUUCAGGGUAGCUCUUAGUUGUCAGUGUCUUGAAUAACUAGUAACUUCAAUAUGUAGUGACUUGAGUAACUAGUAACUGCAAAGUUGUUAAAUGGCAAAUCUUUCCUAAAAAGAGUCUUUUCGGUGGCUGAAUAGUCAGCAUUGAUGUCAGUUGACAAGCUUAUACAAUUUUUGAGACAGAACACCACAAUAUAAAUAUCACACCUGCAGCUUCAUUGUCUAGUCAUUUGAAGGCAAUUUUUCAUAACUGUUCACUUGUACCAUGUGGAAGACUUAAAUAUUAUAGAUGAUCUAUAACAGCAUAACAUAGUACAAUGUACCGUUUUUACAGAAUUAAGGGAUGGGAGAUGAUUUGAGCAGAGUUGCCAAGAAUGCACCUGUGCCCUUUUCAAGCUUUACCUUAAGAUCAUAGAUAUUUUAAGGUAAAGUAUUUGAUCUUGCUUUGAGACGGCUGGAAGAUUUUGAGGACAAGACGUGGUCCUUAGUCAUAUUGUCUUAUGUUCUUCUCUAUUUAGGUAAUGAUUUAGGGCCUGGAAUUUGCUGUUCUAGAAAUACUUUUAAAUUUUGGAGCAGAUGUAUUUUAGUCACAGCAGACAGCAUGGACAGGAAGGAAGGUUUCUCUUUUCUCUUAACUUUCUUUGUUCACCCCCAGAAAUGAUCAUUUCAGUCUGGUAAAAAGUAAAUGUGAAAAAAUUAAACAACUUAAGUAUACUGGAAAAAAGUAUAACUACAUAUACUAUAUUACUACAGUUAUAGACUAUUAGUGAAACAGUAUCUGGUGAGCAUGUAUUUCAAUGAAGUAUCAACUUAAAAGGACAUGAAAGGAAGCAUUAAGUUAGGAUUCUUCGUUCUGGUGCUCGUCAGAUCUCAGUAGGACUCAAAAAGGUGGAUAUGGGCUGUGGUCUGCCAGAACAAACAGGCAAAAUCAUAACUUCACACUUAUAUUGCUUAAGUGGCUCAUGUCUGUGGACAUGACUCCUAAACAUGAAACACAAAUCUUGCCAAAACUGGGAGGUGACACAAUACACUAUUCUGUCAGCCCUUCCAUGCUUUAAUAGUAACAUUGCAAAAUCUACUCAGCUUUCUCAUGGAUUCAUCAAGGUUUCAAAGAUCAAACUGAUGUGGGAUGCUACAAAAUUGUGGUACAUUUUGUAUUUUCAUAAAGAAGACAAAGUAAAAUUCUCAACUGCAUUAACUGUUUCAAGGUAGCAGAACGUUGAAGAUCUUUAUUCUAACCUCUUACCAUACCAUCAGGACCUUGUUGUAGUUAUAUGUAGGGAGAUAAUUUUCACUUUACUUGGCCAUUUCAUGUUAGUAUAUAAUAUGACAACGAAAAUGUUCAAAGAAAGUACAGAACUGUCAAGCUAUCAUCUGUGGUAAAAAAUAAAAAUAAAAAUUAAGUAAUAGAGAGAAGAGGUCCCAGCAAAUAAUGCAAUAAAUUGCCUACUUUAUGGAAGCACUGAGGGCAAGAUACUGAGAUUGAUACCUCUCACUUUUCCCAAAGGGCAGUUUAAGGAAAAUUCUAUUUUUAGCACCAGCAGAGGAGAAUAAUUCUGUAGGUUUUCAGUGUUAUAAAAGACUGUGUGUUCAUAUUCUGAAAUGUGACUUUUACAAAGUUAUUUCACCUGCUUGAAUAUGGACUGGUGCUGCCACUAUUUAUGACAUAUAAGUGGCUGUUUUAAUUGAAAGUUAAAAUUCAUCUACAUUCUUUGAUUAAAAGUAUCUCUAAAAGUAUUCAACAUUUUUUGUUGUUUUUGUUUUGGUUCGGUUUUGUGAAAGUUUGACUUCACAAAGACAAAGGUAACCACUGCUUUCUCCUUUUAGAAAAAGAAACGAAACUGGAGUUGUAUCAGAUGUUGGGUGAAAGGACUACCAAUAGCAAGAAUAUUUUGAGAUAGGGAUUUUCCCAUGGAUGAGUGUAAUUUCUGUAGUCUAUCUUAUGGCAUAGUCCUGGUGCAGAAAGCCAUGAUGACAUGUAAAGAUUUUAUCGACAGUGGUUUGAAAUAACCUGUAAGACUACCUAUGAUUUUAUCACUUGUGGGUAGUAUGGAAAGUCUCUUCUCAUGCCAGGAAAACUUGCGUGGCACUGCACAAUGUCUUGUCUUCCUAAUGCAUUAUUUCUAUAGAAGCAGUAUUUAAUGAUGUGCAGUGACUCAGCUGGAUGACCCGAGAUGGUGAGUCUCAGAGGGUAAUGCUCUGUUUUCCUCCAAAUAUGGCAAUCGGUGAAAAUCUGAUUAAGCCAAAAGUUCCAAAUUUAUCCCCAGGAAAACAACAGCUUCCUUAGAAAAUAUAAAAGAUUUAUUAGAGCUUUUCUUUUUCUUUUUCUUUUUCUUUUUCUUUUUCUUUUU